AGCGAACGCUGGCGGCAGGCCUAACACAUGCAAGUCGAGCGCCCCGCAAGGGGAGCGGCAGACGGGAGAGUAACACGUGGGAACAUGCCCUUCAGUACGGAACAACCAAGGGAAACUUUGGCUAAUACCGUAUACGCCCGUAAGGGGAAGGAUUUAUCGCUGAAGGAUUGGCCCGCGUCUGAUUAGCUAUUUGGUGGGGUAAUGGCCCACCAAGGCGACAAUCAGUAGCUGGUCUGAGAGGAUGAUCAGCCUCACUGGGACUGAGACACGGCCCAGACUCCUACGGGAGGCAGCAGUGGGGAAUAUUGGACAAUGGGCGCAAGCCUGAUCCAGCCAUGCCGCGGGAGUGAUGAAGGCCUUAGGGUUGUAAAGCUCUUUCGUCAGGGAAGAUAAUGACGGUACCUGAAGAAGAAGCCCCGGCUAACUUCGUGCCAGCCGCCGCCGUAAGAC
rnacentral:rRNA from 1 species